UACGUAGGGACCGAGCGUUGUCCGGAUUCAUUGGGCGUAAAGAGCUCGUAGGCGGCCACUCAAGUCGAAUGUGAAACCUCGAGGCUUAACCUCGAGCCUGCAUUCGAUACUGGGCGGCUAGAGUCUGGUAGGGGGAUCUGGAAUUCCUGGUGUAGGCGGUGGAAUGCGCAGAUAUCGAGAGGAACACCGGUGGCGAAGGCGGGUCUCUGGGCCGAUACUGACGCUGAGGAGCGAAAGCGUGGGGAGCGAACAGG
rnacentral:rRNA from 1 species